GGAAACAGGAAGCUGGCUGCGUUUCUGCUUUGCAGACUUAUUGUUUAUACCACCAACCAGGCUGUUCUGAGAAAAGCAGAAUAGACCCACCUCCCUCUGGGUACAAAGAUUUCAGACACACCUCCACCAGCAAAACAGUUCUGGACAACUGAUGAUUUCCACACGCC